rnacentral:misc_RNA from 1 species
UUUGAUUAUGGCUCAGUUGAACGCUGGCGGGAUGCUUUACAUGCAAAGUCGAACGGCAGCACGGACUUCGGUCUGGGUAAGCGAGAGUGGCGAACAGGUGAGUAAUGUAUCGGAACGUGCUGGUAGCGGGGAUAACUGCGCGAAAGCGUAGCUAAUGCCACAUACGCUGACCGGGGAAAGCAAAGGGGACCUUCGGGCUCGCACUAUUAAAGCAAGCCGAUAUCGGAUUAGCUAGUUGAGUGAGGUAACAUUCGCAAAGCGGCGACGAUCCGUAGCUGGUUUGAAGGACAACCAACCACACUGGGACUGAGACACGGCCAGACUCCUGCAGGAAGGCAGCAGUGAAAUUUUGGACGGAAAGCCUGAUCCAGCCAUCCCGCGUGUGCGAUGAAGGCCUUCGGGUUGUAAGCACUUUUGGCGAAGAAACGCUGGGAUAAUACCCGUACAACUGACGGUACCUGCAGAAUAAGCACCGGCUAACUACGUGCCAGCAGCCGCGAUAUGCGUAGGAGUGCAAGCGUUAAUCGGAAUUACUGGGCGUAAAGCGUGCGCAAGCGGUUCGGAAGAAAGAUGUGAAAUCCCAGAGCUUAACUUUGG